CCUACGGGAGGCUGCAGUGGGGAAUAUUGGACAAUGGGGGCAACCCUGAUCCAGCCAUGCCGCGUGUGUGAAGAAGGCCCUCGGGUUGUAAAGCACUUUCAGUGAGGAAGAACGCCUGGUGGUUAAUACCCAUCAGGAAAGACAUCACUCACAGAAGAAGCACCGGCUAACCCCGUGCCAGCAGCCGCGGUAAUACGGAGGGUGCGAGCGUUAAUCGGAAUUACUGGGCGUAAAGCGCGCGUAGGUGGCUUGAUAAGCCGGUUGUGAAAGCCCCGGGCUCAACCUGGGAACGGCAUCCGGAACUGUCAAGCUAGAGUGCAGGAGAGGAAGGUAGAAUUCCCGGUGUAGCGGUGAAAUGAGUAGAGAUCGGGAGGAAUACCAGUGGCGAAGGCGGCCUUCUGGACUGACACUGACACUGAGGUGCGAAAGCGUGGGUAGCACACAGGAUUAGAUACCCUUGUAGUA
rnacentral:rRNA from 1 species